CUGGCAAACCUGAAGCAUGACUCACUGAAAAGCGCAGGCGCAGUUCCGGAGCUUUCAGCCGCCCAGCGUCCACGGAGAUCUUCCGGUCACCGGGACUGGGACAACUUCAAGGCUUAGCCAAUCCAAGCCCACAGGCUGGCGCACGUGGUCCUGGGACCCAGCGCAUGCGCACUAGGGAAAUGGCGCCUGCGUAGAGCGAACGGCGGCGGCCGUGGGACUGGGCUCGCGCGGCUUCCUGGAGGAGGAGCUAUGGCCCCGCCCCUGGCCCGAGAGAAAGAAACUGCACUUUCGUUUUUUAGCAGCAAAGGUUGUUGACGUACUUUACAACUUAUCUUUUCUGCUUCUACUCAGGACAGUCAAGACAGUGCUCAGCUAGAUGUUCACAUAACCGUAGACAUAAAUGUGAAUCUAUUUAACGCAGUAAUUAAUUCAAAAAGUGUUUUUAGCAUCCUAGCAUGCAACAGUUGAUAUGAAAGUAGUAAAUGUUAAUUGAGUGGUCAUGUGCAUCCUGGACGUCUCAUCUGUGCACAUUCUCAUUCUUUGCCUGCAAAGGGCCAGUAAAAGCACAGUGAUGGUUGAACGAAUGUGACAGCCUCCUAUGCUGAUGCCUUACUCCAAGAAAUUAAAUCGUCUAACUGAUAUCUUAUGGUCUGAUUGGAACAGGAUUUCAAUAGCAGCCCUGGGAAAGACAGGACAACCUGCUACCUUGUAAUUCAGAUAAAACAUCAGCCUUUUCACAGUUCUGACCUAUGAAGACAUCUCCAGAUUUGAACACAAGAUUGAAAUUUGUCGAUAAAAACAACUGUCCCACACCUUGGUAAAAAAACCCUUCCACAUAGAUACACGCUGAUGCCUGGGGGAGCAGAAUGGAGAGAGAAACUAACCUUGCCUGGGAAAGAGGAGGAAAAUGUCCAGGCAGUCUGGAAGAUAGACUGGAGGGAGACAGAAUGGAAGAAAAGAUACCAGUUGGCUCAGAAGACAGAUUCUGGUUGCUUGGACUGCAGCAGUAGCAGUGGAGUCACUAUGGGGGAAGUCAGCUAACAGUUGUGAGAACAUUCAAACAGCCCUAUGGAGAGGUCCACAUAGAGAGAAGCUGAGGCCUCCUGCCAACAGCCAUGUGAGUACACCAUCUUGGAAGCAGAUCCUCCAGCCAGAGUCAAGAUGUCAGAUGACUACAGCAUUGAUCAACAACUUGAUUGCAACCUUGUAAAAAACUCCAAGCCCAAGCAGUGUGGCGAUUCCUCAAAGAACUAAAAACAGAACGACUAUUUGACCCAGCAAUCCCAUUUCUGGGUAUAUACCCAAAGGAAUAUAAAU